UACAGGGGGUGCAAACGUUGCUCGGAAUCAUUGGGCGUAAAGCGCACGUAGGCGGUCUGUUAUGUCGGCUGUGAAAGCCCUCGGCUUAACUGAGGAAGUGCAUCCGAAACUGGCAGGCUAGAGUACUAAAGAGGGUCGCGGAAUUCCCGGUGUAGAGGUGAAAUUCGUAGAUAUCGGGAGGAACACCGGUGGCGAAGGCGGCGACCUGGGUAGAUACUGACGCUGAGGUGCGAAAGCGUGGGGAGCAAACAGG
rnacentral:rRNA from 1 species